AUUGAACGCUGGCGGCAGGCCUAACACAUGCAAGUCGAACGAGUGGCGGACGGGUGAGUUAUGUCUGGGAAACUGCCCGUUGGAGGGGGUUAAUUACUGGAAACGGUAGCUAAUACCGCUUACCUUCGGAUGUGCCCAGAUGGGAUUUGCUAGUAGGUGGGGUAAAGGCUCACAUAGGCGACGAUCCCUAGCUGGUCUGAGAGGAUGACCAGCCACACUGGAACUGAGACACGGUCCAGAAUCCUACGGGAGGCAGCAGUGGGGAAUAUUGGACAAUGGGCGCAAGCCUGAUGCAGCCAUGCCGCGUGUAUGAAGAAGGCCUUCGGGUUGUAAAGUACUUUCAGCGGGGAGGCGUUACCCGCAGAAUAAGCACCGGCUAACUCCGUGCCAGCAGCCGCGGUAAUAC
rnacentral:rRNA from 1 species